rnacentral:rRNA from 1 species
UGCCAGCAGCCGCGGUAAUACGGAGGGUGCAAGCGUUGUUCGGAUUCACUGGGCAUAAAGGGCGUGUAGGCGGCUUGGUAAGCGGAGUGUGAAAGCCCGGGGCUCAACCCCGGAACUGCACUCCGAACUGCCGAGCUAGAGAACGAGAGGGGACUGUGGAACUCUAGGUGGAGCGGUGAAAUGCGUAGAUAUCUAGAGGAACACCGGUGGCGAAAGCGACAGUCUGGCUCGUUUCUGACGCUGAGAUGCGAAAGCGUGGGGAGCAAACAGGAUUAGAUA